AGCGAUGAGAUCACUUCGGCGAAGGAUUAGCGGCGAACGGGUGAGGAACACGUGAAGAAUCUGCCUUCAACUCUGGGAUAACUCCGGGAAACCGGGGCUAAUACCGGAUAUGAGCCUUGAUCGCAUGAUCGGGGCUGGAAAGUUUUCGGUUGAAGAUGACUUCGCGGCCUAUCAGCUUGUUGGUGAGGUAAUGGCUCACCAAGGCGACGACGGGUAGCCGGCCUGAGAGGGCGACCGGCCACACUGGGACUGAGACACGGCCCAGACUCC
rnacentral:rRNA from 2 species